rnacentral:lncRNA from 1 species
CAGGAACUCUGAAAACACUUUGAGAAAACACUUUUCUAUUGGGCCCAAUUAUUGAUUCCCCAUGAAAAAAACCUGAAUAUGUCAGUCAAGGCGAGGCCAUUGCAUGUGCUAGAAAAGAAUGAGAGGGGCCAGGAAGUUAGAACCGGGGUUCCAUGUUCUCUCUUGCAUCUAGUACUUAUUUUUUUUUGCCAGAUUUUGUUUUGUUUUUGUCUUUUGAAAGCCGCACCCGCGGCAAAUGGAGGUCCCCAGGCUAGGGGUUGAAUUAGAGCUGAAGCUGCCAGCCUAUGCCACAGCCACAGCCAUGCCAGAUCCGAGUCACAUCUACGACUACACCACAGUUCACGGCAACGCCAGAUCCUUGACCCACUGAGCGAUGCCAGGGAUCGAACCUGCAACCUCAUGGCUCCUAGUCAGAUUUGUUUCUGCUGCGCCAUGACAGGAACUCCUUUGCCAGGUGUUUUUAGGCAGUUGCUAUCCCUGGUAUUCUAGGAUGGAGAAACUUGUGGUUUAGGGGAAGGGGCUAGAGAGACACUGCUCAGCAGAAAAGGGUAUCUGUACAUGGGGAGAAGUUGGCAAAGAUGAUCUCUGAUGUCCUUUCCGAUGUUAAGAUUCCAUAUUUCUUUUUUGGUGGGAGGGUGAAGGGGAAAAAAUAGCUUUUAUUGUAUUGCCAGGCGAAGCCACAGCAGGCUAAUGCCCUAAAGACUGUACCCCCACCCCUUUGGGGAAGCAUUGCAGGAGUUUUAUAGUCUAAAAUGAGAAAAACAGGUUUUAAGAUAAGAAUCAGGAUUGGGGCAGACAUGCUUUCUUCUUUCUUUGGGGGAAUCUUAGUCCUCCAAGCUGGCAUCAGGAGAUCUCAGCAUGAUGCUGGUGGUGGUUUUCUGGGUUAUUGCCUGGAAUAACAGUACUGGUGUCUGGACUCACUGAGGUUCAGGUUCUUCAUGUGUCCACACAGAAGGAAUUCAGCAAGAGACCAAGUGAUAGGCAAGAAAUAGAUUUAUUAAGAUAGGGCGCUUGUGAGAGCCGCAGGCAGGCAAGGAGGCUCUGCCAAGAUUCCCUAUAUCUACACCCUGUCUUUCUCUCUUCCCCCCCCCACCCCGGCGCUUGCCUGUUGCUCCUGCCCAUCCCAGGAGCAGAGAGGGGUUUAUUGUUUCCCCUCGGAGCUUCUGCACAUGGCAUGGGCCACAGCCGCAGCACACGCUGCGUGGACACAUGGACUUCCCGCCGGGGACAGGAUGGCAGGCACCACACAGGCGUGUGGGCCCGGGGAAAGACCAUUUCACGACUUGGUGUUGCAGCACCGCCGCCCCGCUGCGGGCCCCCCGCCUGCUCUUGUCCGUCGCCCAGGCCUGACUCGGCUCCGCUCUACUCCAGGCUCCUUGUUUGUAAGAAGGAAAAACCCACUCCGGCGGGCUAGAAGGCAGGAAGGACCCGCCCCUCUUCCCUCCCUCUCGGGGGCCACGUGGUCUUCGCCGCCGUCCGCCUCCGCCCUGCGCUCCGCAGCCUUGCCUGCCCCGCCCCCCAGAACUGCCGCAUGAGCUCUGUUGUCUCCUGCUCCAGCCUCCUUUUUCCAGACUUUGCAGCUCGGGGGCCUAACUUUGGGUCCCGUCUCCUGAUUUCCACCAAGAACCUGAUUGCUUCCCAUCCACAGAGCCCCCUCCGGUACAAGGACAGGAGAGGUUCCCAAGGAAGCCAGUCUGUCUAGCCAAGCCCCCCGGCCAAAGCGACCUCGGGGGUCCUCGCUGCCGCCGCGGUGUAUCGCUGUGCCUCAGGGUCCACACUGAAGAGAGAGCCCUGCCAAGAUUCACCAGCGGCCCCGGCUAAUGGCUGGGAAAAUUACAAGAAAAAGGCCUUCCAGAUUUAACGUUCCUGUGAUUCUCCUGUAAAGAUAAAAGGGUGACGUGCUCACAUUGCAGGUUCAGCUAAUACAGGACCAUUUCACACAUCCAAUUAGCAACGAUAAAAAUACGUGAUUCCCAGCUGAGAAGGCUGAGGUGCUACUUGGAUUCACACCGUUUGUGAAUGUGCACUGACAACGCGCUGUGAACAUUGCAGUGGAGCGGUUCUUCUGUCCCCAAUCUACAGACCCAGAGACCUCAAAGGCACAGAGAGGUGAACCGUGCCUCCACCCCCACCCCCGCUUUCUGUGGCCGAGCUGGGGCCACUGAGCGCUCCUGCCCAGCGCCACCGCCUCUCAAGCCCAUCUAGUCGCCAACAGAAUCACUGGGGGGCGAGCACAGCGUGCGGAGUCCUUGGCACUGCCUGAGAAUCGAAACACCCCUGGAAGGGAGCUCUCGCUCUUUGUAUUAAUGCACUUCCACAGUUAUUUCUGAUGAUCAGCCAGGUCUGGAAACAGUUGCACUCCUCAAGACCUUUUUUUUUUUUUUUUAAGUUACACCUAUGAAAAAUAAACUGGGGGGGGGUCUUUUUUAUUUUUUAUUACUCAAUGAAUUUUAUUACAUUUAUAGUUGUACAGUGAUCAUCACAAUCCAAUUUUAUAGCAUUUCCAUCAAGACACUCAACCCAGAAGUAAAUAAGGGUGGUUGUGUUUUCCUGGGCAUAGGAAAGUUCCCAACUUCCCUGAAAAAUCGAAUUGGUGGUAUGUACGCACCACACCCACACACCGCUGGCCCUGAGAACGGGAGGAUGAAUCCACACUGCCCGUAGGACAUGGACACCUUAGGGGACCUCCCUGCUCUCCUCUGCAACAAAGACCAGAAUACCCCUCCCUGCCAGCACCGGAGGGUGAGGUCAGAGUUUGCGGCUUUUGUGGCUCGGUGCCUGCCGAUAGUAUGUGUCCAGUAAGUGUUUAUGGUGGAAUCUGGUUCCAGAGAGUGGUCACCAAACGAUAAAGGGAACACGCACUUGCCAUCUUUCAGUUCUAGCCAUUUCACAGGAAAUGGCCCAAAGCACUAACAGGGAUGAAAGCGGAAGACCUAGGAAAAUGCAGUACUGGAGAACGGCAAUUGUUUUUGAUCAAACAGGCCAAAUAGCAACUCAGUGUAAGAUAAAAGGUAAAUAUCGACUGGCCCUCAAGCCUUGCUGACUGGUUUACAACCCUGUGGGUUCAGGUGCCCCAAGGCCAGGUCUCCCCUUACCUGCCUGGGACACUCACCUGCCCCAUUGGGGCCACCGCAGUGGGAGAACCUGCCCUACAUCCCCCACCUCCUGCCGGUUUUCCUACCAAGAGCCUCGGAGGAGUGAGUGUCGCAGUGUAAACAUGGGAGCAGGAAGACGGGCCCCCUGUGGGCUGUGCCUUAAUUUAGCCUCCACAGCACCAGGCCAGUCAUUUGGGAUUUUAGGUCCCUUGGUUUCCUUCAACGUCUGCUCCAGUGUCCUUCCUCGUCGAGGUCUCUGACUCGCAUGUCUGAGGAGAUAAGAGCGCUAAGAAUAGAUGGAGAAAACACAUCUUCAGGUCACCCCUUGGAGGGCAGGUGCUUUCAGUGGUACCCUGCCUGCUCCGGGUACGGAGUGGGGAAAACCAGACGGUGUGUGAUGUUUGGAGCUCUCCCCGGGUCCCUGCCUUCACUCGCUUUCCUGACACAGAAAAGUAGAUGCCUCUGAACUGGGGGACCCUCCACACGUUGGGGAACAAGGAAUCUGGGCACAUCUUUGUUUUGAUGCAGUAGUUAGUUUCUCACUCCUUGAAUGAGCCUGAUAGGAGAACUUAUUCCAGAUCAUUUUUGUUUAAUGAUGAACACACCUUCCUGAAAGCAGUUAUUUGCUGCCUUCCAUCCACAUUGGGAACCAAGCUCACAACUCGGUUAUUUAUCCAAGCAGGGGCUACACCUACACGAUCUACUUUGGGUUUGGAGAGGGUGGGGCUGCCACAGCUCAGGAGGACUGACUCGCCAAGCUCAUCUAAAUCGGGGAGAAGAGCCAGUCCAGCAGGCGGGCUGAAAACACUCCGACCGCCCUCGGAGCUCGCGGUGGUGGAAAACAGCUGAGAGCCAGCAGGCAGCGGGGUCAGCCCGGGGGCUGUCUUUCUAAGCGUCUGGCUCGGGGACCUGACAAAGGAGAUUUAGAUGCUCUAUCAGUCAGGCCUGCAGGCUUCCCCUAGUUUUUCUGGCACCUGGCACCAUCCCCUCACCUGGCUGCAGAAAUAGCUCAUUCCUCAGAGUUCCCAUUGUGGCGCAGUGGUUAACGAAUCCCACUAGGAACCAAGAGGUUGUGGGUUCGAUCCCUGGCCUUGCUCAGUGGGUUAAGGAUCUGGUGUUGCUGUGAGCUGUGGUGUAGGCUGGCAGCUACAGCUCGGAUUCAACCCCUAGUCUGGGAACCUCCAUAUGCUGCGGGAGAGGCCCUAGAAAAGGCAAAAAGACAAAAAAAAAAGAAAUAGCUCAUUCCUCUAGAGGGGUGAGGUGAAGGGGGGCAGUGCUGGCUGAGAAGCUAGGGGUUCCCAUCAGGCUUUCUUUAACCUGGGUAAAGGGAAGUUUGAGGUCUGGCAAAAUCUCCGUUUAGGUCAGGCCUCAUGGUCCAGAAUUUGGAAGAAAUUAAAAGAACCUUUAGGAAUCAGGCUGUGGAAAUAUUCAAACUAAUGUUUAAAGAAAACCUAGCUCCUAAUCGCGCUACUUCAGUUUAGCUUGCAGACGCACUGUGAACCACCCCAAUCUCAGAAAAUGUUUGGGAUCCCUGAAAACUCCUGAGGAGGGGCUGAGAGGAAGGAGCAGGGCUCUGGGGCUGGAACCUUGGCUCAGCCUCCAGCUGUUUGGGGACAGCCUCUCUCUGCAUUGGCACUUCUUCCUACCUUACCGAGUUUCCUGUCAGCCAGGCUGUCAGCCAGCACGCAGGUGUUAACGACUUUAUUAGCGUGGCCUUUCAGUUGCAAAUGACAGACAUUCAAACCGCCUUAAAAAAUAGAGCAACUCUGCCCCCCGUGGGAUACAAACGCAGUGGUUUAUUGAUGUACUUUAUGGCCCCAUUUCUCGAACACUCAUUACACAAUGUCGUAAUUUCUCGGAGGCGUAUCAAUAAAGAGCUAAGCUCACGCCGUGCAGGUCAUCACAUUCUGAGACUAAUUCAGUCCAAACACUGGGCUUACAAAGCCGACAGAGCUGGUACGUGUCCUGUCCGUGGUUCCCAGAUCCCCACGCUUUCAGAGCUCUGACCUUCUCCUUCUCCGCGGCAUGGUGUCCUGUCACUCUGCUGGCAGACAUGCUCCAGGGGACUCGGGAGGGUUGGUCGGGCUGCUGUUUUAAAUUUCCUUCUCUAAGAAGCGCUGUUAGAGUAACAAUUACCGAGAGAUGUGAGAAUGAUCCAGUACUGGCCCUGCUCAAACUCCUAGGCCCUUGGGAAGGAUUCGUGGGAUGGCAUCUGCUCUUGAAGCUCAGACUGCCCGGCCUGGCAGGCCACCAGGCAAGGGGAGGAGGGGGACACCAGGGGCCACGUGAGGAGGGCACGCAUGGGUUGCUCCCCCUACCAAACUGGCAAGUGGAAUCAGUGUUUGACCCUUAGCUGGCACAGCGCUUGGCCCACAAGAGACAUCUGAUAAAUACGUGUUAAAUGAACACACUGAUAAAGUUGAGAGCUAAGAUGGAAACGGACAGGAACAGUAGAACAGAGAUGUUGUGAAGAAAGAAAGAGCCGGAGUUCGUAACUUAUACGGGGGAGGAGGGAGAAGGAAGAUCCAAAAUGAAAUGAUAGGGGUUUUUCUCUUUAUUUACUGUGGAUUGAUAGGGGAAAGCCUUGGCAGUUGUUUGGACUUGACUCUGAACUGCAGUCAGGGCACUCAUGUUGAAGGUGCGGAACUAGAGACUGGAAGUCCAGGGACAGCAGUCGAUGACAUGGAAGUGACAGUUGUUGGAAGUGGAGGAGUUGAGCAGAGGAGAGAGACUGGGAGAGUUUGGCAGGUGGUGGUGGUUGAUGAGACUGGUGGUGAAGAUUGUAUUUAUUGGGGAGUUCCCGUCGUGGCUCAGCGGUGGUGGACCCGACUGGAAUUCAUGAGGAUUUGGGUUUGAUCCCUGGCCUCGCUCAGUGGGUUAAGGAUCUGGUGUAGCCAUGAACUGUAGUGUAGGUCACAGAUGUUGUUACAGCAGAUACCCAGCAGCCCUGUGCUGCAGGCGUAUCAGCUCUGGCAACAGCCCCGUGGCUGUCGUGUACCAGCUCCAGUAGCUCUGUGGCCGCAGUGGAUCAGCUCUUUUACCCGGCGAGAAACCAAGGGAGCACUCGGAGAGUUGGAGAACUCAGGUUUAUGACGCCGGCGGGCUCAGACGAGAUCGCUCUCCAGAGUCUGAGCCCGGAAGAAGGGUUUCCCAAGGCUUUUCUGGGCUACGUCUUCCGGGUCCAAGCUUGACUAGUUGGACUGGAGUGACGUCAGGCAAGGGAGUAGAUGCGGAAACAAAUUUACAGAAGCAGAUGCAUGGGGGAGGACUGGUUGGGGCAGUUGGCUAGACUUUGCUUAGUCAUCAUGGCUGGGGUCUCUUCUUUCUACAUUUUAUUGGGACAUUUUCUCCUACAUUUUAUUGGGACAUUUUCUCCUACAGAUCUUGCUGUGGCUGUGGUGUAGGCCAGCAGCUACAGCUCCAAUUCGACCCCUAGCCUGGGAAUUUCCAUAU